rnacentral:rRNA from 1 species
GACGAACGCUGGCGGCGUGCUUAACACAUGCAAGUCGAACGGAAAGGCCCUGCUUUUGUGGGGUGCUCGAGUGGCGAACGGGUGAGUAACACGUGAGUAACCUGCCCUUGACUUUGGGAUAACUUCAGGAAACUGGGGCUAAUACCGGAUAGGAGCUCCUGCUGCAUGGUGGGGGUUGGAAAGUUUCGGCGGUUGGGGAUGGACUCGCGGCUUAUCAGCUUGUUGGUGGGGUAGUGGCUUACCAAGGCUUUGACGGGUAGCCGGCCUGAGAGGGUGACCGGCAACAUGGGGCCGGAGGUAGGGCCCGGCCUCCACGGGGGGGCAGCGGGGGGGAUUUUUGCAAAGGGGGCGGAGGCCUAAUACAGACCCCCCGGGUGGGGAAGGACGCCUUUGGGUUUUAAACCCGCUUCCCCCUGGGACGAACGGGGAGUGACGUUAUGGGAAAAGAAACCCCCGCCUAACUCCGUC